CACGUAGGGGGCAAGCGUUGUCCGGAAUCAUUGGGCGUAAAGAGCUCGUAGGCGGCUCAGUAAGUCGGGUGUGAAACCCUCAGGCUCAACCUGGGGACGCCACCCGAUACUGCUGUGGCUAGAGUCCAGUAGGGGAGUGUGGAAUUCCCGGUGUGACGGUGAAAUGCGCAGAUAUCGGGAGGAACACCGGUGGCGAAGGCGGCUCUCUGGACCACUACUGACGCUGAGGCGCGAAAGCUAGGGGAGCAAACAGGG
rnacentral:rRNA from 1 species